rnacentral:rRNA from 1 species
GUGAGUCAUCGAAUCUUUGAACGCAAAUUGCACUCUCCGGUUUUCCGGGAGAGUAUGCCUGUUUGAGGGUCAGCCUAAAAAAAUUCGACAUCGUUGCUGUUUUAUGGUAACUUUCGUCGGAGAUUGGGUCAUCUUUUAAACCCGUUGGGUUUUUAAGCGACUUAAAAUUUUUUAAGAUUCCGCGAACGUUUCUAAGAUUUAAACUCUUUUACACACGUUCAAGGUGUCGAAUGACUUUUACUAGGCGUGGACGUCGCGUCGGAUCGCGCCCAUAAAUUGUUUCUUUAACUGACCUCAGACAGGUAAGAGUACCCGCUGAACUUAAGCAUAUCAAUAAGCGGAGG